GGCUCCUUCUGGGGGAGGCCGCCUCCGCCCCCCGCCCCGGCUCCUUCUGCGCCCACCGUCGCCUUUAACUCCCCCCUCCUCCGUUACCGUCUCCCCCCUUCCCACCUCCCCCACCCGCCGCUCAUCAACAUUCAACAGGAAUUCGAUUUGAUUUCGAUUGUUUGAUUGCAACUCUGCUCUGCUGCGGGAGAGGCCUCCACCACGCUCUCGCCGGGGCAGCUGUUCUUCGAUUUUAGGGUUUGCGAAGCCCUUGGAUUUCGCGUAGGGAGAGCCUCCUCCCGGCCGUGUGAUGGACGCGAGGGAGAUGUGAAGCCUGGCUGUUAACUGAUGCUCGUGGAGAGAUUCGGAGGAGAGGAGCGCGCGGUGAGGAGGCGGUGGAGGCGGAAGCGCCGGAGAGUUGGGCACCAGCGCAGCCACGGACGACGCGCAGCCGCCGGGGGUCGAGGCCUGGAACAGGGCUGCUCCGCCCCUGACGGCCGCCGCCGCCGCCGCCUCCAUGGGGGAGUCGCUGCUCACCGCGCUCUCCAUGGACACCGCCACGGCCCACCACCCGCACCAGGGCCCCUCCACCUUCCUCUCCAUGGACACUGCCUCCCACGACGAGUUCGACCUCUUCCUCCCGCCGCCAGGCCCCUUCCAGCGCUGCCUCCAUGCCGCCGCAGCCGCCCCCCCUGACAUCAACCUCCCCCUCGCCGCCGACCCGUCUCCUCCCCCUCCGGCCCUGCAGACCACCACCCUCCAUGAGUCCAACGUCGACAUGCUAGAUGUUGGCCUCGGCUGCCCGCAGCUCUAUGACUCGGACUCGCCUGCUGCUGCCGCCGCGACCUCCGCCCCGGUGUCCACCACAACAACUGUCCAUGUGUCUCACACCAAGAGCUCCGGUUCCAGCGCCGCGCGCAAGUGCGUGAAGCGGAACGAUAGCAUCUGGGGUGCAUGGUUCUUCUUCACCCACUACUUCAAGCCGGUCAUGUCGGCUGAUAAGGGCGGCAAGACGAAGGCACCCGCUGCUGCCGGGAAUGGUAAUAGUGCCACACUGGAUGCUUUCCUGGUGCAGCAUGACAUGGAGAACAUGUACAUGUGGGUGUUUAAGGAUCGGCCGGAGAAUGCCCUGGGGAAGAUGCAGCUGAGGAGCUUCAUGAAUGGUCACUCGCGCCUCGGGGAGCCACAGUUUCCUUUCAGCGCAGACAAAGGGUUUGUGCGCUCACACCGGAUGCAGCGUAAGCACUACCGGGGGUUGUCAAACCCGCAGUGCCUUCAUGGGAUUGAGAUCGUGCGGGCACCAAACUUAGUGGGUGUUCCUGAGGCCGAUAUGAAGAGGUGGUUCGAGCUCACCGGGAGAGAUGCCAAUUUCUCCGUUCCCACUGAGGCGGAUGAUUUUGAAUCAUGGAGGAAUCUGCCGACCACGGAAUUUGAGCUCGAGAGGCCUGCAACUGCUGCUCCAGCAAAGAGCACCUCACAUGGCCAUCACAAGAAGGUGCUGAAUGGUUCUGGCCUUAACCUGUCGACACAUGCAUCAAAACAUGGUUCUGGGGAUGGUAUGGACAUCUCAGCUGUCUGCCACAAACGUAGGAAGGAUUCCUCCCCCUCUGCCAUGGAAGAGGAUUGCAGCAAUUCAAAUUCAGACAAGGUUCAGGAUAUGGAUGUGAGCCACACUUUUGAGCCAUCAUGGACAAAUGACUUCACCGGUGUGAUGCGUCAUGCUUCUGGGCCAGUAACUGCCGCAAAAACAAUAUAUGAAGAUAGCAAGGGCUACUUGAUCAUCAUUAGCCUGCCAUUUGCUGAUAUACAGAAGGUGAAGGUUACCUGGAAGAACACUCUUACGAAUGGCGUCGUUAAGAUAUCAUGCACUAGCGUGGGACGGAUGCCAUUCUUGAAGCGACAUGAUCGGACCUUCAAGUUGACGGAUCCUUCACCUGAGCAUUGUCCACCAGGGGAGUUCAUCCGGGAAGUUCCAUUGCCUACCCGGAUCCCAGAAGAUGCUACUCUGGAAGCAUACUGUGAUGAAUCAGGAACAGGCCUAGAGAUUAUUGUCCCUAAACACCGUGCUGGACCUGAAGAACAUGAAGUCCGUGUGUCCCUGAGGCCUCCCUCAUCAUGGUGCCAAUGAAAACAUGUUGAAGUAUGCGGGGAGACAAGGUGUGGAUGUUACCAUACAACAAAUGCAGCUCAGUUUUGCUAAUUGUGACGGAGCAGUCCUAGUCGAUUGAAGCAUUCUGGUAGUUGGAAGUUGGCAGCUGUGGAAAUUUAGGGGCAUGCUACAGGCCACAAGGAGCAUAUCUGGAUUACUCACUCGCCCUAUGUUUUGGUAUCGUUGCUGGGAGUACCUUGUGUAUUAUCUUUUGCUUUUGUGGAAUUUUUCUUUGUAUGAAAGGUUUGUCGCCUGCUCAAUGUGCUUCCAUUCCAUCUGUGCAUUACUCUGGCGAGCAGUCUGUUUAGGCAUUUAUAGUUAGUUUUCAUAGGUUGGUGAGAAGUCUGCUUUGUGGGCGUUCCUGGAAACUUCAUCCAGGAAAGGAGUUCAUGCAAGUGUUUCUAGGAUUUGUCCAUGUUUUGUGGGUACUAUAUUGUUUUUAUUAGCAUUCAAACGCUUUCCAGAAAUUGGUGGGAGGCGAGUGCAAUUGUUUCAAGGUACCAGUGUAAACAAUCUGUCAUCAAUAUAGAUUUUAGUCUUUAUCAGUUAUGUGCACUGCUGUAGUAAUUUGAAUUCACUUUCAUAUGCUUUGGUAUUGUGUCCAGUUCAACUUCAACCCCGCCCGAAGUGAUCGCAGUGUUUGCAACGCCGAGUUUAU
rnacentral:rRNA from 1 species